GACGAACGCUGGCGGCGUGCCUAAUACAUGCAAGUAGGACGCAGUUGCGAACGGGUGAGUAACGCGUCGGUAACUGCCUAUUAGUGGGGGCUAACUAUUGGAAACGAUAGCUAAUACCGCAUACUAGUAGAUGGACCUGCGUUGUAUUAGCUAGUAGGUAGGGUAAUGGCCUACCUAGGCAACGAUACAUAGCCGAGCUGGAGGGGAGGUCGGCCACACUGGGACUGGGACACGGCCCAGAAUCCUACGGGAGGGAGCAGUAGGGAAUCUUCGGCAAUGGGGGGAAACCUGACCGAGCAACGCCGCGUGAGUGAAGAAGGUUUUCGGAUCGUAAAGCUCUGUUGUUAAGGAAGCGGUACUUAACCAGAAAGGGACGGCUAACUACGUGCCAGCAGCCGCGGUAAUAC
rnacentral:rRNA from 1 species